GAUGAACGCUAGCGGCAGGCCUAAUACAUGCAAGUCGGACGGGAUUGAGAAGCUUGCUUUUCAUGAGAGUGGCGCACGGGUGCGUAACACGUAUGUAACCUACCCAUAUCAGGGGGAUAGCCUCUCGAAAGAGAGAUUAAGACCGCAUAACAUUAUUGAAUGGCAUCAUUUAAUAAUCAAAUAUUUAUAGGAUAUGGAUGGGCAUGCGGAACAUUAGCUAGUUGGUAAGGUAACGGCUUACCAAGGCUACGAUGUUUAGGGGAUCUGAGAGGAUGACCCCCCACACUGGUACUGAGACACGGACCAGACUCCUACGGGAGGCAGCAGUAAGGAAUAUUGGUCAAUGGACGGAAGUCUGAGCCAGCCAUGCCGCGUGCAGGAAGACGGCCCUAUGGGUUGUAAACUGCUUUUGCAGGGAAAUAAACCUCGAUACGUGUAUCGAGCUGAAUGUACUCUGAGAAUAAGGAUCGGCUAACUCCGUGCCAGCAGCCGCCGUAA
rnacentral:rRNA from 1 species